rnacentral:rRNA from 1 species
GACGAACGCUGGCGGCGUGCUUAACACAUGCAAGUCGAACGGAAAGGCCCUGCUUUUGUGGGGUGCUCGAGUGGCGAACGGGUGAGUAACACGUGAGUAACCUGCCCUUGACUUUGGGAUAACUUCAGGAAACUGGGGCUAAUACCGGAUAGGAGCUCCUGCUGCAUGGUGGGGGUUGGAAAGUUUCGGCGGUUGGGGAUGGACUCGCGGCUUAUCAGCUUGUUGGUGGGGUAGUGGCUUACCAAGGCUUUGACGGGUAGCCGGCCUGAGAGGGUGACCGGCCACAUUGGGACUGAGAUACGGCCCAGACUCCUACGGGAGGCAGCAGUGGGGAAUAUUGCACAAUGGGCGGAAGCCUGAUGCAGCAACGCCGCGUGCGGGAUGACGGCCUUCGGGUUGUAAACCGCUUUCGCCUGUGACGAAGCGUGAGUGACGGUAAUGGGUAAAGAAGCACCGGCUAACUACGUGCCAGCAGCCGCGGUGAUACGUAGGGUGCGAGCGUUGUCCGGAUUUAUUGGGCGUAAAGGGCUCGUAGGUGGUUGAUCGCGUCGGAAGUGUAAUCUUGGGGCUUAACCCUGAGCGUGCUUUCGAUACGGGUUGACUUGAGGAAGGUAGGGGAGAAUGGAAUUCCUGGUGGAGCGGUGGAAUGCGCAGAUAUCAGGAGGAACACCAGUGGCGAAGGCGGUUCUCUGGGCCUUUCCUGACGCUGAGGAGCGAAAGCGUGGGGAGCGAACAGGCUUAGAUACCCUGGUAGUCCACGCUGUAAACGGUGGGUACUAGGUGUGGGGUCCAUUCCACGGGUUCCGUGCCGUAGCUAACGCUUUAAGUACCCCGCCUGGGGAGUACGGCCGCAAGGCUAAAACUCAAAGGAAUUGACGGGGCCCCGCACAAGCGGCGGAGCAUGCGGAUUAAUUCGAUGCAACGCGUAGAACCUUACCUGGGUUUGACAUGGAUCGGGAGCGCUCAGAGAUGGGUGUGCCUCUUUUGGGGUCGGUUCACAGGUGGUGCAUGGCUGUCGUCAGCUCGUGUCGUGAGAUGUUGGGUUAAGUCCCGCAACGAGCGCAACCCUUGUUCACUGUUGCCAGCACGUUAUGGUGGGGACUCAGUGGAGACCGCCGGGGUCAACUCGGAGGAAGGUGGGAUGACGUCAAGUCAUCAUGCCCCUUAUGUCCAGGGCUUCACGCAUGCUACAAUGGCUGGUACAGAGAGUGGCGAGCCUGUGAGGGUGAGCGAAUCUCGGAAAGCCGGUCUCAGUUCGGAUUGGGGUCUGCAACUCGACCUCAUGAAGUCGGAGUCGCUAGUAAUCGCAGAUCAGCAACGCUGCGGUGAAUACGUUCCCGGG